AUAGGAUAUUGUGGUACGGUGAAGGACUGCAUCAGUUAUCUUAUGUAAGAGGAGAGUCAAAGUUCUCGGAUCAUAGACCUGUCUACGGCAUUUUCUGCGCUGAGGUUGAGUCAGCUCAUAAUAAGCUAAAGCGAACCAUGAGUUGUUCAGCUUCACGUGUUCAAGCUGAAGAGCUCUUACCUUAUUCCCGUGGCUACACCGAGCUCAGCUUCUUUUAAAAGUAACACACGUGUUUCACGGUGAACUAAAGUGUUUUUUGGAUCUUUGAGAGUGAUGGAGACGUUACAUUGCUUCUUUAGCUCCAAGGGAACAGGUGUAGAAAGUGUUUUAUUUUUGGCCUCGGUUAACUAAUUUUCACAUACCGGUGGGUUCUGUGGUGUAUCCAGUUCAUGGUUUUUGCUAACUUCUGGUGGAUAGAAAUUUUACAGCUACGUUAUAAGGCAAUCAACUAACCAAUCAGAGAUCGCCAAGUAGACACAUUAGGAAAGUUCUUUUGAUUUUGUUUAGUUUUCAUUCUUUUGAUUUAAGCACAAUUAGGGAAAAUAUGGUUUUCUGUUCUUUUUUUUUUGUGAUCAACUGCGGUGUGUCCCCACGGUAAUUAUUUUGUAAUGUUUAUUAUGUGAUGUUAAUGUCAAGUGUAACGAAAAUUAUACCCAAAAAAAAACAAAGAAUUUCUGUUUU